GAAAGAACAAGUGCAUGCGGUAAACCCAGAGGAUAUGGAUUAGCUUGGAACAUGUUGGAGCAUGUCCCUUCACCCUUCAACAAUAAUACUUCUAUCAAGAUUUUAGAUACUAUUAUAGAAUAGAGAAAAUUGUGAGGACACCCACCAGGACUUCAGCAAUAGUCUGCAGAAGCCAGUGACAUUGCAGCUGCUAGGAUAGUGCGCAAAGGCAGGCGGCCAGCUCACACAAUGAAAAUCUACAUAGUGGCCAGCUGCAGAGAGGUUUCUUGCCACAGGAGAGAGUUUUGAAUCCCU